UACGUAGGGGGGCUAGCGUUGUCCGGAUUUAUUGGGCGUAAAGAGCGUGUAGGCGGCCAGGUAGGUCUGCUGUGAAAACUCGAGGCUCAACCUCGAGACGUCGGCGGAAACCAUCUGGCUAGAGUCCGGAAGAGGAGAGUGGAAGUUCCUGGUGUAGCGGUGAAAUGCGCAGAUAUCAGGGAAGAACACCCGUGGCGAAGGCGGCUCUCUGGGACGGUACUGACGCUGAGACGCGAAGCGUGGGAGC
rnacentral:rRNA from 1 species